UGACAAAAUGCUUUGCAUCAGACUAUUACUGGACUGUAAAUGUGGUUAAUUUUUAUUUGACGCCUCUUCAUCCAACGCAAAGUGGAUUUUUAUGUCUCCAAAAACCAGUGAGUGACGCAGCUUUGUGUCAAAUACAAACCUACUUUUACAAUAGUAAGGCUACUUGAACACUGUUUCAUGCUUUUCGUCCAGGAUGCCUUGCGCUAUCUGUUCGCCAACAGCUCUUAAACCGGAGCUGUCUGGCUGAGAGAGCAACCUGAGGUGUAGGGAGACGAGGUACAUACAGCUUCUUAUCCUUCCAUCAGCUGCCUCUUUUUUUUGUUCCUUUAUGGUUUUUACUCCCCCUUCUCUUUUUCCACUCGCUCCCUCUGUGUUUUUCCUCAUUUGCCCUGCACUGCAGCAGCGCCCCCCUUUUACCAUCUCGUGCACUCGCUCCUCUUUUUGUUUCCUCAUUUGUCUUCUGCUCACCCACCUCCUCUCUCCCCUCUCUCUUCCUCUUUCUCUCUCUUAACCUGCUGACCCCCUUUUUCUUUUUAUCUCCCUCCUUACUCCUCCUCACUCUCUCUUCCCCCCAUGUCUCCAGUCGACCCUCCUGCCCCCCCCCCCCCCCCCCCCCCGUCUACGCCGUGACUCCUCCACUUUCCCAUGACAGAAGCAGAGGCGGGAAUCAAAUGACCGGCUUCUCUCCUUUCACCUGGUCUCCGAGCUCGAGCUGUGAAAGAAAGCUUUGUCCCCCCGAACCCUUCAUCGCCUCUGGAGAUGCGCGUCGUCUGCUUUUGUAUGGACUAUUACUGCGGCUUCAAAGAACACCAGAGAGCAGUGCUCCUACUGUGAACAGGGCAUCACAACCAAAGAACAAAACCUCCACUGUAAAAUUAGAUCUUUAUCCCUUUAGUCCUUAUGUGUCAGCACUCGCAGUCUGCGCAGAGAUGAGCUACUACUGAGUGUUUCCACGACAAACGUGCCGGGGCACCUUCACUCCUACAUGCCUGUGACCCACGGACUCACUAGGGGGAGCGACCCAGAACGAAACCCAGUAAGGCAGGUCAGAUGUCUGCUUGACACACUCUCUGCGGCGGUGGGGGUGGUGGGGGGGGGGGGGGGCGAGGCGCGCGACGGGUGCAGCAGGAGCUAGGUCAGAUAGUAAGCAG
rnacentral:lncRNA from 1 species